rnacentral:rRNA from 1 species
GCGGCCGUAACUAUAACGGUCCUAAGGUAGCGAAAUUCCUUGUCGGGUAAGUUCCGACCCGCACGAAAGGCGUAACGAUUUGGGCACUGUCUCAACGAGGGACCCGGUGAAAUUGAAGUACCUGUGAAGAUGCAGGUUACCCGCGACUGGACAGAAAGACCCCAUGGAGCUUUACUGCAACUUGAGAUUGGAUCUCGGUGACAAAUGUACAGGAUAGGUGGGAGACUUUGAACUGAUGGCGCCAGCUGUCAGGGAGUCGAUGUUGGGAUACCACCCUUUUGUGACUGAGAUUCUAACGCCAAGCGUAACGAGCUUGCGGACAUUCUCAGGCGGGCGGUUUGACUGGGGCGGUCGCCUCCGAAAGAGUAACGGAGGCGCCCAAAGGUUCCCUCAGCGCGGACGGAAAUCGCGCGAAGAGUGUAAAGGCAGAAGGGAGCUUGACUGCGAGACCCACAAGUCGAGCAGGGACGAAAGUCGGGCUUAGUGAUCCGGUGGUUCCGAGUGGAAGGGCCAUCGCUCAACGGAUAAAAGCUACCCUGGGGAUAACAGGCUAAUCUCUCCCAAGAGUCCAUAUCGACGGGGAGGUUUGGCACCUCGAUGUCGGCUCAUCACAUCCUGGGGCUGAAGUAGGUCCCAAGGGUUGGGCUGUUCGCCCAUUAAAGUGGUACGUGAGCUGGGUUCAGAACGUCGUGAGACAGUUCGGUCCCUAUCCAUCGCGGGCGCAAGAAACUUGAAGGGGGCUGCUCCUAGUACGAGAGGACCGGAGUGGACGGACCAAUGGUGUACCAGUUAUUCUGCCAAGAGUACAGCUGGGUAGCUACGUCCGGGACGGAUAAACGCUGAAAGCAUCUAAGCGUGAAACCAGCCUUGAGAUGAGGUUUCUCAUAACAAAAGUUAGUAAGACCCCUUGUAGACGACAAGGUAGAUAGGCCGGGAGUGGAAGUGCCGCAAGGCACGGAGCGGACCGGUACUAAUCGGUCGAGGGCUUAACUUA